AGAGUUUGAUCAUGGCUCAGGACGAACGCUGGCGGCGCGCUUAACACAUGCAAGUCGUGCGAUACCUCGAGCGAGUCUUACGACAAGCUCAAGGUAGAGCGGCGGACGGGUGAGUAACACGUGAGUAGCUGUCCUAAGGAGGGGGAUAACGCCUGGAAACGGGUGCUAAAACCCCAUAUGCCUCGCAAGAGGUGAAAAUGUAGCUUGCUACAGCCUUAGGGUGUGCUCGCGGCCUAUCAGCUAGUUGGUGAGGUAACGGCUCACCAAGGCUAAGACGGGUAGCCGGCCUGAGAGGGUGUACGGCCACACUGGAAUUGAGAUACGGUCCAGACUCCUACGGGAGGCAGCAGUGGGGAAUCUUGGGCAAUGGGCGAAAGCCUGACCCAGCGACGCCGCGUUGGGGAUGAAGCCCUUCGGGGUGUAAACCCAUGUUGUAGGGGACGAAGAAAGUGACGGUACCCUACGAGGAAGCCCCGGCUAACUACGUGCCAGCAGCCGCGGUAAGACGUAGGGGGCAAGCGUUGUCCGGAAUUACUGGGCGUAAAGGGCACGCAGGCGGUGCGCCAAGUCGAGGGUGUAAAGUUACGGCUCAACCGUGACAUUGCAAUCGAUACUGGCGCGCUGGAGUGCGGGAGAGGGAAGUGGAAUUCCCGGUGUAGCGGUGAAAUGCGUAGAUAUCGGGAGGAACGCCAGUGGCGAAGGCGGCUUCCUGGCCCGCGACUGACGCUCAUGUGCGAAAGCCAGGGGAGCGAACCGGAUUAGAUACCCGGGUAGUCCUGGCCCGUAAACGAUGGGUGCUAGGUGUAGGCGCGUCAAGCGUCUGUGCCGCAGUUAACGCGAUAAGCACCUCGCCUGGGGAGUACGGUCGCAAGGCUGAAAC
rnacentral:rRNA from 1 species